rnacentral:rRNA from 1 species
AGCCAUCUUUGGGAGCUUGCUCCCAUUGGUUAGCGGCGGACGGGUGAGUACACGUGGGCAACCUGCCUGUAAGACUGGGAUAACUUCGGGAAACCGGAGCUAAUACCGGAUAAUCCUUUCCCUCACAUGAGGGAAAGCUGAAAGUCGGUUUCGGCUGACACUUACAGAUGGGCCCGCGGCGCAUUAGCUAGUUGGUGAGGUAACGGCUCACCAAGGCGACGAUGCGUAGCCGACCUGAGAGGGUGAUCGGCCACACUGGGACUGAGACACGGCCCAGACUCCUACGGGAGGCAGCAGUAGGGAAUCUUCCGCAAUGGACGAAAGUCUGACGGAGCAACGCCGCGUGAGCGAAGAAGGCCUUCGGGUCGUAAAGCUCUGUUGUUAGGGAAGAACAAGUAUCGGAGUAACUGCCGGUACCUUGACGGUACCUAACCAGAAAGCCACGGCUAACUACGUGCCAGCAGCCGCGGUAAU